ensembl:lncRNA
AUGCCUGUUUGGAGCUCCGCUCUUGCCCUUCCAGCCUCUGUACAAACUUUUCUCCUGCUUCAAGUUUCCCUGGCGGAGGCGGGGCCACACUGUGCGCGGCCCGGGCGCCCAUUGGCCAGACCGGGAGGGGGCGGGGCGCGUGCUAGCUCCUCUGCGCGGCGAGGAAGCUCCGCGGGCAGGAGGGAGGGGCUCCGGGCUGCGCGGAUCCCACCGCGCCUCGGCGGGCGGCUCCCUGCAGCUUUCCCGCCCUCCAACGAGGUAGGGGAGGGGGUGUUGGAGACUUGGUCCUCUCGCCUCAGGCAGGUGGUGCGGAGAAGCAGUGGUCCGCGGGAACCCUGGGGAAGCCCCAGUGCUCUUCUGUGCACCCUCUUAGGUACUCUGAAGUCGGCAUCCAGCGGGGCCAGCUCUGAAACCGGCAUCUCUUCUUCCUCACUGCCUCCCGCUCCAAGUGGGCUGUUUCUCGCACCUACUUCACGCGGGUCGCAACAUCUGGGUGCUGGGAAGGGAGGUCAGCGGCUUAGGACUCUACUUUGGAACGCCCGAGAUACCUUCAACACGAAUCCUUGGAAAGGCUGAUGCAGAGCGAGACUGGGAUUUGAAAGUUUUUCGAGUAAAGGAAUCAACUCUAACCCUGGUCAACUCUUGGAAAAGCCCAAUUGCUCUACCUUUUCACUUUGAAUUACACUAUAAUUUCUUCUGUGAUGGGAACAGUUUUUUUGACGACGCGUUAUUCACUUCCUCCUGUUCUACCUCCUGAAGUAAGAACUGAAAACUAAAAAAAGUGAUUGUAAAACUUUAUGGCAUAAUUAUAACUGCUUCACCGUUUUUUUUUUUUUAAACCAUGAAGUGAGAUUGUGUGAGCCUUCACAAUUUCAGUUCCUAAGAAAACCUCUUUCCAGGGGUUGUAUACAUGUAUUUUAACAUAUUGCAUCUCCUCACAGGGUAGGUAAAUAACUUGAUUCUUCUUAUGAUGAGCAGGCACUUAUGCCUUAAAUAUUAUUUCAUGAAUGAACAAACCUAAGAAUUUAUCUGGUUCUCCAGUUAUUCUCAAAUGACACAGUAACAAAUAAGUAAUAGGAGAAACAAAAGAGGGCAUUCCAGAUUUCAACUAAUUACAGGACAUAUUAGAAUUGUAUUUACACAUUUUGUGUAAGGCACCAUGUGGAUAUAUUGAUACAUCAUUCUGUUGUUUGUAUUGUUUCCUCAUGAAUAUCAGGGAUUCAGAAAGAAAAACACAUUUGUUAGCCAGUAUAAAAUAAUUGAUGGCUAUUUGUCAGUUUCUUGGAGUCUUAAUCAUCACUAUAACCACUCCUGUUGUCUGUGCUUCCCAUGAGUAGUAAGCUCUCGGAUUGUGUCAGCAGUGAAAUCAAAUCAACACUAGAAAAAGGAAACUGCAUCUUCUAACCCCCAGUCUUCUCUGACCACAUUGUAUCACUAUUACCCUGUCAGGUGGUUGUCAGUCACAAUAUGAAGACGAAGUGGGAAGUUCCACUUAUAAUCAAUCACUUUCUGCUAAUAAAAAUUUUUUUUCCAGUUCUCUUCCCGCUUGAAGUUCCUAAAAUGGAGAACAAUUAAGAUUAGUACUUGUCAACUUUUCACGAUGAAAAGUAUAUUAAAUGUAAAAAUUUAGGCGCGCUGUUGAGCGAAUUAAUAUUACAGGUGUUAGCAUGUCGUUGAUAAACUGGGCUUGUUAUCAAU